UACGUAGGGUGCAAGCGUUGUCCGGAAUUAUUGGGCGUAAAGAGCUCGUAGGCGGUCUGUCGCGUCGGCUGUGAAAACCUGGGGCUUAACUCCGGGCCUGCAGCCGAUACGGGCAGACUAGAGUUCGGCAGGGGAGACUGGAAUUCCUGGUGUAGCGGUGAAAUGCGCAGAUAUCAGGAGGAACACCGAUGGCGAAGGCAGAUCUCUGGGCCGUAACUGACACUGAGAAGCGAAAGCAUGGGGAGCGAACAGGA
rnacentral:rRNA from 1 species